AGCCUUUUGAAAGGUCUGCCUCCU
rnacentral:piRNA from 1 species